rnacentral:rRNA from 1 species
UACGUAGGGUGCGAGCGUUAAUCGGAAUUACUGGGCGUAAAGCGUGCGUAGGCGGUUUCGCAAGUCAGAUGUGAAAUCCCCGGGCUUAACCUGGGAACUGCGUUUGAAACUACGGAGCUAGAGUGUGGCAGAGGGGGGUGGAAUUCCACGUGUAGCAGUGAAAUGCGUAGAUAUGUGGAGGAACACCGAUGGCGAAGGCAGCCCCCUGGGCCGACACUGACGCUCAGGCACGAAAGCGUGGGGAGCAAAC